AACGCUAGCUACAGGCUUAACACAUGCAAGUCGAGGGGCAGCAUCAUCAAAGCUUGCUUUGAUGGAUGGCGACCGGCGCACGGGUGAGUAACACGUAUCCAACCUGCCGUCUACUCUUGGCCAGCCUUCUGAAAGGAAGAUUAAUCCAGGAUGGCAUCAUGAGUUCACAUGUCCGCAUGAUUAAAGGUAUUUUCCGGUAGACGAUGGGGAUGCGUUCCAUUAGAUAGUAGGCGGGGUAACGGCCCACCUAGUCAACGAUGGAUAGGGGUUCUGAGAGGAAGGUCCCCCACAUUGGAACUGAGACACGGUCCAAACUCCUACGGGAGGCAGCAGUGAGGAAUAUUGGUCAAUGGGCGAUGGCCUGAACCAGCCAAGUAGCGUGAAGGAUGACUGCCCUAUGGGUUGUAAACUUCUUUUAUAAAGGAAUAAAGUCGGGUAUGCAUACCCGUUUGCAUGUACUUUAUGAAUAAGGAUCGGCUAACUCCGUGCCAGCAGCCGCGGUAAUACGGAGGAUCCGAGCGUUAUCCGGAUUUAUUGGGUUUAAAGGGAGCGUAGAUGGAUGUUUAAGUCAGUUGUGAAAGUUUGCGGCUCAACCGUAAAAUUGCAGUUGAUACUGGAUGUCUUGAGUGCAGUUGAGGCAGGCGGAAUUCGUGGUGUAGCGGUGAAAUGCUUAGAUAUCACGAGAACUCCGAUUG
rnacentral:rRNA from 1 species